GACGAACGCUGGCGGCGUGCUUAACACAUGCAAGUCGAACGGAAAGGCCCUGCUUUUGUGGGGUGCUCGAGUGGCGAACGGGUGAGUAACACGUGAGUAACCUGCCCUUGACUUUGGGAUAACUUCAGGAAACUGGGGCUAAUACCGGAUAGGAGCUCCUGCUGCAUGGUGGGGGUUGGAAAGUUUCGGCGGUUGGGGAUGGACUCGCGGCUUAUCAGCUUGUUGGUGGGGUAGUGGCUUACCAAGGCUUUGACGGGUAGCCGGCCUGAGAGGGUGACCGGCCACAUUGGGACUGAGAUACGGCCCAGACUCCUACGGGAGGCAGCAGUGGGGACUAUUGCACAAUGGGCGGAAGCCUGAUGCAGCAACGCCGCGUGCGGGAUGACGGCCUUCGGGUUGUAAACCGCUUUCGCCUGUGAUGAAGCGUGAGUGACGGUAAUGGGUAAAGAAGCACCGGCUAACUACGUG
rnacentral:rRNA from 1 species